UCCUGCCCACAUGGGGCCUGGACCCUUCUGAUGUGACAGAUGCCUGAAAGUCAUCACACCCUGCUUCCAAAUAGAGAAGAGGGGACCACAGGACACAGGCCAGUCUUCAUCUGAAACCUUCAGUUGAUUCAAUUGACUUUGCAAGACAGAUCAUCUAUAAACCCUCAGCCAAUGGAACAAUGGUUCAAUAGGCUAUUUCUGGAUCACCACCUAUUCAAAUCCACAGCUGUGAGGCCACACGCCAUGCCUUUCCCAGAAUGACCCAGAUGACAUACGAAUGAAAACAAAAAGACACUGAAUGAAACAGGAUAGCAAGAGCAAUCCAGUAAGAUGUCACCAGCAACAGCAGAAAUCCACUUGCUCUGUACCAGCAGCAGUAGAAACAGGAAGAAGAUCAGGACAGUCAGAGAGAGAGCACUGACAGACCAAGGUAGGAGGUGGUUGAAAUGACUGAGAUACCCAUUUUUCUCCUGAGGACACAGCAGAAGUAAUCAAGGAUCAUCUGCCUCCUGUUCCAAACCUAAAGAAUCCAAGAGGCAGAGGUCUUGCAUAGGGCUGGAGUGGUUAGAGAAGGAAAUGGAACUUGAGCUGGACCUUGACAAGUAGGGAGAAAAAAUAUAUGCAUAUAUGUUUGUGGAAGUAAACUGUAAGAAUCUCCAAAA